CCUUCUUAAGGAGCUGGAACCAGGAGGAGGGCGUCAGUUCGUUAAUGCCACUGCGUUGAACCCCUGUUUCUGACCCCUGGACCCAGCCGUGAACCAUAGACCUUGGACCCUCCGUCUGAAAACAACCAGGAACCCGAGAGGGAUCUCGGGUUAUCCACCGCUCAGCCCUCCUACGCUCUCCUGCCUGUCCACCCUCGAACCACCAACCAGGGAGAGAGUACUGGUCAGCACUCGGACCACCGGGGACACUCCCCCCAAGAUCGGACCACAGCCUCUCUACAAAGCCCAGAAGAACCUGACCAGACCAUACAGCUUCCAGUUCACAUCCACUAUCUUGUUUUUCAAUAAACCUCUUAAACCUU